GGGCCUGUAGCUCAGCUGGGAGAGCGCUGCGUUCGCAUCGCAGAGGUCGGGAGUUCGAAUCUCCUCGGGUCCACCA
rnacentral:tRNA from 1 species